AUUCCUGGUGGAGUGCCAAAAGUGGGCUUGAAGUAUUAGGAAAUCAAAAGUAUGCAGGUCGGUGGGAGCCAACGGGCCCUUCUGGACGGCCCUUCUUCAAAGACGGUAUUUUUCUACAAUGUAAAGGAUCGUUUGGAAGGGAUCAUGUCGCUAUCUGCAAUAAUUCCUUUCCAUGGCCUCAUUAUUAAGUUUCUUGAAUUCCAGAGCAGAUUCAGGGUGACUGAAAAUUUGAUUAAAAAUUCCAAGGACUGAAACAGAACAUCCAGUCCAAAUGCCUUUCUUCCAUCAUGGCAAGGGUUGUGUCUCCUGUACCCACUUAUGUUCUCUCUGCAGAGACAUGGGAAGGACGGAGGCCAGGAAGCAGAGGAGAGAGGGGUGGAUAGUUAUUUAUGGUAGAGGGCCACUUCAGGUGACAUCUGCUCUUAUGCCACCUCCCAUUUAAUCAGUGAUGGCUCAGAAAUAAUUAAAUCAGCUGCUCUCACCACAGCAGCUCUGCUAGGGUCUCCUGAAGUCUGAGUGACGUGAAGAUUAAUGGGCCCAUUAUCAGGAGUCCACACAACAGCACUAGAACCUCUGAUCGGCUAUGUUUAUAGCCACAAGUUGCUGUUUUUGCAAUGGAAACAAAUGUGUCACAUGUAGCAAGAUGGAUUUCUCUAUGGAAAUAGCAUUGUGCCUUCUAAUCUGGGUGAUUGCUAUCAGGAGGUGCCGUUGGACAGCCCUGGCUUGGCCUCGGGGACGAGAAGAAGCAGAAAACAUGCCUGUUUCCUUUCCAUUGUGUUUUUAACACUUUGGUGGAACGCCAGACAAGGAAGGGAUGAAAUCAUGGAUUGUGUCCUCACCUCCAUCUUAGACUGUUUUAGCAUGGGGCAAGUCUGUCAGAAGAAUUAACUUCCUGUAGAAGUUAAUUUUCUAUUCUAAGAAAUCUGGGAGAGCAUGACUCACAAGUCAUGAAAGAAUACUUCUUGGUAAUAUUGAAGCUAUUGUUUUUAGAUACAAUGAAAAUAGCGGACGGUCAUGACUUUGUUUGUGUGUAUGUGUGUGCACAUGCAUGCGACAUGGAUGCAUACAUGUAUGUAUGGCUAAGUGCUGAGGAAGGGUCUCGGGCUUGGGAGAGACUGAAAGAAGAUCAAGGACAGAAGAACAGAAUCUGUUUAUUCUGGGCAGUGCCCUGUGACCAUGACCAGAUUUGGGGAUGUCUGUGGCUGUGA
rnacentral:lncRNA from 1 species